AGCGGAGGAAAAGAAACCAACAGGGAUGCCCUAGUACGGCGAGUGAACAGGCAAGAGCUCAGAUUUGAAAGGCACUUUUGUGCCGUUGUAUUCUGAAGUUAGGGUCCUGAGAAACGAUGCUUAAGUCUUCUGGAAAGGAGCGCCAUGGAGGGUGAUAGCCCCGUCUAGCAUUGACCUCAUAUAGGAUCUUAACAUGGAGUCGAGUUGUUUGGGAAUGCAGCUCAAAUGGGUGGUAUGCUCCAUCUAAAGCUAAAUAUCUGCGAGAGACCGAUAGUAAACAAGUACUGUGAGGGAAAGAUGAAAAGAACUUUGAAAAGAGAGUGAAAAAGUACGUGAAAUUGUUGAAAUGGAAGGGUAGGCCGCUAACCAUGUAGAGCCGUGUUUGGGGGGAAGAUAAAUGCUGUAGAAUGUAGCUCCUCGGAGUAUUAUAGAUGCAGUUCAUAUUCCCACCCGAGCGCGAGGAUCUCAGGUUCUACUAAAUGGUGGUCUACCACCCGUCUUAAC
rnacentral:rRNA from 1 species